UGGCUUUCGCUUUCGGAUCCGGCGGAGGCUCCUCGGCUGCUGAGCGAGCGACGUGGCGUCCGCCUGGAGGAGAGCCUCGAGGGCUCGGCCGCUGCAGCGGCGCAGGCGGCGGGGAUGAGAGCGGGGGCCCGGCGCUCGGGCGCGGCCAGGAGUCACAUCAGCGCUUACCCACCUGUAGAGACCACCGCAUAGGAUGUUAUUUUAAACUAUGAUGACAUUUUCCAUGGGACCACUGCAUUUCUACAAACUUGUGUACAUCAGUGCUCUGAUCUCUGCUCUGUGCAGUUUACUUGGAACCUCAGUUCAACUCAAGUUGAAAAUGGAGCCACGGGAUUUUGAGUACAUAUUAACGUGGGAAGCUGGAAAUAAUACAGGGACUCUCACACGCUACAAUGUGAUGUAUAGAACAAG